rnacentral:tRNA from 1 species
GCCACCUUAGCUCAGUCGGUAGAGCUACUGUUUUGUAAACAGUGGGUCGCCGGUUCGAGUCCGGCAGGUGGCUCCA